UAACUACCUCGUAAAUAGGAGCAUACUUUUCACAGCACUCCAGUUCGAAUUUUUACUGCUAUGCAUAGUGUACGGGUACAAUAGAUGAACAUGGGCAUACACAUGUGUUUCAAUUCACUGGGCGCUCUCUGUCGAGAAUCAGAGAGUAUAACCGUGUCUAAAAUUGUUGUCAAUAGAAGCUGAAUAGUGCGUGAGACAAGGAAGUCGAAUAUCUCCACAACUGUUUUGUCCCGAGUUAUGUUCCACGCAGGUUGUGAAUAAAUAUCGGCUUGACUCAUACAAGUAUGGCUGAUAACGGUCCUGUCAUAAAUUUGUAAUGCAUCAUAUUUACGACUCUAUGGUGGACGCGACAUUGGUGAUAUUGUAUUUCAAUGUAACCCUUUCCUGUAAUGGAGCUUGGGACAUUGUCGUACAUGAAGUGUUUAUGUUGCAGCAAAUUGUGGGAAAUGUAUGUUUACCUAGCCGAUGGGAUAUUUAUGUAUCUGUACUAUACCUGUUUAAUUUGAUGUAUCCGUAAUACAGGUUAUCAUAUAUAUUGCAUAUCUAUGAUGUAUUUGUAGGCAUAUUAUAUUAUCUUUGUUGCAAAUUAUCAUAUACAAUGUAUUCUCACUGUAACGGAUCUUCUAUAUUCAUGUAUACUGUAGUUGAAUAUACUGUAGUUGAUAAUACAUGAUGUAUCUGUACUGAGACUAAUCUUAUAUACUGAAUGCAUAUCGUAUCCUUGCUGUAACUUAUCUAUUAACACUGUAGCUGAUUACAUUGUAAUUGAUCAUAUAUACUGUAUUUAUACUGAGAUUGAUCAUAUAUACUGAUGGGUCACCGCAUCCCCACUGUAACUGAUAAUCGUAUAUACUGCAGCUGAUUAUACUCUGGUUGAGCAUAUAUAAUGUAUCUAUACUGAGACUAAUCUUAUGUACUGAAUGUAUAUACUCGUGUGUCUUUGUUUAUUGUGAUGGAUUUACAUGUGAAGUGCUCCUAUCCUGUCAUGGAUUUACAUGUGAAGUGCUCCUAUCCUGUCAUGGAUUUACAUGUGAAAUGCUCCUAUACUGUCAUGGAUUUACAUGUGAACUGCUCCUAUACUGUCAUGGAUUUACAUGUGAACGUUUCUAUUCUGUAUUGGACGUUCAUGUGAAAUGCUUCUAUACUUAAAUGGCUUUUCAUGUGAACGUUCCUCUAAUGUGACCUUUUGUAGUCAAAUGUCAUGUGAAAUGCUUCUAUACUGUCAUGGAUUUUCAUGUACAAUAUCUAUAAUGUAAGCUUUUGUAACCGAAUGUCGUGUGAAAUGCUUAAAACUGUCAUGGAUUUUCAUGUAAAAUGCUUAAAACUGUCAUGUAUCUUCAUGUGAAAUGUUUCUAUAAUGUGACCUAAUGUUACUGAAUGCCAUAUGAAAUGCUUCAAUACUAUCAUGUAUCUUCAUGUGAAAUGUUUCUAUAAUGUGACCUAUUAAUGCUGAAUGCCAUAUGAAAUGCUUCAAUACUAUCAUGUAUCUUCAUGUGAAAUGUUUUUAUAAUGUGACCUAUUGUUACUGAAUGCCAUAUGAAAUGCUUCAAUACUAUCAUGGAUUUUCAUGUGAAAUGUUUCUAUAAUGUGACCUAUUGUAGCCGAAUGUCAUAUGAAAUGCUUCUAUACUAUCACGGAUUUUCGUGUGAAAUGCUUCUAUACAAUCGUGCAUUUUCAUGUGAAAUGCUUCUAUACAAUCGUGGAUAUUAAUGUGAAAUGCUUCUAUACAAUCGUGGAUUUUCAUGUGAAAUGCUUCUAUACAAUCGUGGAUUUUCAUGUGAUAUGCUUCUAUACUAUCACGGAUUUUCAUGUGAAAUGUUUCUUUGCUGUAACCAAUUUUCAUAUGAUUGAAUGUUCAUAUAAUAAACUGUAAGCAUAUGUCGUA